rfam:Gorilla gorilla gorilla genomic chromosome, chr12, whole genome shotgun sequence
UAUUGAGCACUUACUCUGUGCCAGGUACUUUGUACAUGUUCCUGGCACAGAGUAAGUGCUCAAUA